GACGAACGCUGGCGGCGUGCUUAACACAUGCAAGUCGAACGGAAAGGCCCCCUUGUGGGGUACUCGAGUGGCGAACGGGUGAGUAACACGUGAGUAACCUACCCUUGACUUUGGGAUAACUUCAGGAAACUGGGGCUAAUACCGGAUAGGAGCUCCUGCUGCAUGGUGGGGGUUGGAAAGUUUCGGCGGUUGGGGAUGGACUCGCGGCUUAUCAGCUUGUUGGUGGGGUAGUGGCUCACAAAGGCUGUGACGGGUAGCCGGCCUGAGAGGGUGACCGGCCACAUUGGGACUGAGAUACGGCCCAGACUCCUACGGGAGGCAGCAGGGGGGAAUAUUGCACAAUGGGCGGAAGCCUGAUGCAGCAACGCCGCGUGCGGGAUGACGGCCUUCGGGUUGUAAACCGCUUUCGCCUGUGACGAAGCGUGAGUGACGGUAAUGGGUAAAGAAGCACCGGCUAACUACGUG
rnacentral:rRNA from 1 species